AGCAGUAGCCGCGGUAAUACGUAGGGUGAAAGCGUUAAUCGGAAUUACUGGGCGUAAAGCGUGCGCAGGCGGUUAUAUAAGUCAGAUGUGAAAUCCCCGGGCUCAACCUGGGAACUGCAUUUGAGACUGUAUGGCUAGAGUGUGUCAGAGGGGGUAGAAUUCCACGUGUAGCAGUGAAAUGCGUAGAUAUGUGGAGGAAUACCGAUGGCGAAGGCAGCCCCCUGGGAUAACACUGACGCUCAUGCACGAAAGCGUGGGGAGCAAACAGGAUUAGAUACCCCUGUAGUCCCUGUCUCUUAUACA
rnacentral:rRNA from 1 species